rnacentral:rRNA from 1 species
GGAGCUUGCUCUGCUGGAUCAGUGGCGAACGGGUGAGUAACACGUGAGCAAUCUGCCCCUGACUCUGGGAUAAGCGCUGGAAACGGCGUCUAAUACCGGAUACGAGCUGCGAAGGCAUCUUCAGCAGCUGGAAAGAACUUCGGUCAGGGAUGAGCUCGCGGCCUAUCAGCUAGUUGGUGAGGUAACGGCUCACCAAGGCGUCGACGGGUAGCCGGCCUGAGAGGGUGACCGGCCACACUGGGACUGAGACACGGCCCAGACUCCUACGGGAGGCAGCAGUGGGGAAUAUUGCACAAUGGGCGAAAGCCUGAUGCAGCAACGCCGCGUGAGGGACGACGGCCUUCGGGUUGUAAACCUCUUUUAGCAGGGAAGAAGCGAAAGUGACGGUACCUGCAGAAAAAGCGCCGGCUAACUACGUGCCAGCAGCCGCGGUAAUACGUAGGGCGCAAGCGUUAUCCGGAAUUAUUGGGCGUAAAGAGCUCGUAGGCGGUUUGUCGCGUCUGCUGUGAAAACCCGAGGCUCAACCUCGGGCCUGCAGUGGGUACGGGCAGACUAGAGUGCGGUAGGGGAGAUUGGAAUUCCUGGUGUAGCGGUGGAAUGCGCAGAUAUCACGAGGAACACCGAUGGCGAAGGCAGAUCUCUGGGCCGUAACUGACGCUGAG